UUAAGCGACUAAGCGUACACGGUGGAUGCCCUGGCAGUCAGAGGCGAUGAAGGACGUGCUAAUCUGCGAUAAGCGUCGGUAAGGUGAUAUGAACCGUUAUAACCGGCGAUUUCCGAAUGGGGAAACCCAGUGUGUUUCGACACACUAUCAUUAACUGAAUCCAUAGGUUAAUGAGGCGAACCGGGGGAACUGAAACAUCUAAGUACCCCGAGGAAAAGAAAUCAACCGAGAUUCCCCCAGUAGCGGCGAGCGAACGGGGAGCAGCCCAGAGCCUGAAUCAGUGUGUGUGUUAGUGGAAGCGUCUGGAAAGGCGCGCGAUACAGGGUGACAGCCCCGUACACAAAAAUGCACAUGCUGUGAGCUCGAUGAGUAGGGCGGGACACGUGGUAUCCUGUCUGAAUAUGGGGGGACCAUCCUCCAAGGCUAAAUACUCCUGACUGACCGAUAGUGAACCAGUACCGUGAGGGAAAGGCGAAAAGAACCCCGGCGAGGGGAGUGAAAAAGAACCUGAAACCGUGUACGUACAAGCAGUGGGAGCACGCUUAGGCGUGUGACUGCGUACCUUUUGUAUAAUGGGUCAGCGACUUAUAUUCUGUAGCAAGGUUAACCGAAUAGGGGAGCCGAAGGGAAACCGAGUCUUAACUGGGCGUUAAGUUGCAGGGUAUAGACCCGAAACCCGGUGAUCUAGCCAUGGGCAGGUUGAAGGUUGGGUAACACUAACUGGAGGACCGAACCGACUAAUGUUGAAAAAUUAGCGGAUGACUUGUGGCUGGGGGUGAAAGGCCAAUCAAACCGGGAGAUAGCUGGUUCUCCCCGAAAGCUAUUUAGGUAGCGCCUCGUGAAUUCAUCUCCGGGGGUAGAGCACUGUUUCGGCAAGGGGGUCAUCCCGACUUACCAACCCGAUGCAAACUGCGAAUACCGGAGAAUGUUAUCACGGGAGACACACGGCGGGUGCUAACGUCCGUCGUGAAGAGGGAAACAACCCAGACCGCCAGCUAAGGUCCCAAAGUCAUGGUUAAGUGGGAAACGAUGUGGGAAGGCCCAGACAGCCAGGAUGUUGGCUUAGAAGCAGCCAUCAUUUAAAGAAAGCGUAAUAGCUCACUGGUCGAGUCGGCCUGCGCGGAAGAUGUAACGGGGCUAAACCAUGCACCGAAGCUGCGGCAGCGACACUAUGUGUUGUUGGGUAGGGGAGCGUUCUGUAAGCCUGCGAAGGUGUGCUGUGAGGCAUGCUGGAGGUAUCAGAAGUGCGAAUGCUGACAUAAGUAACGAUAAAGCGGGUGAAAAGCCCGCUCGCCGGAAGACCAAGGGUUCCUGUCCAACGUUAAUCGGGGCAGGGUGAGUCGACCCCUAAGGCGAGGCCGAAAGGCGUAGUCGAUGGGAAACAGGUUAAUAUUCCUGUACUUGGUGUUACUGCGAAGGGGGGACGGAGAAGGCUAUGUUGGCCGGGCGACGGUUGUCCCGGUUUAAGCGUGUAGGCUGGUUUUCCAGGCAAAUCCGGAAAAUCAAGGCUGAGGCGUGAUGACGAGGCACUACGGUGCUGAAGCAACAAAUGCCCUGCUUCCAGGAAAAGCCUCUAAGCAUCAGGUAACAUCAAAUCGUACCCCAAACCGACACAGGUGGUCAGGUAGAGAAUACCAAGGCGCUUGAGAGAACUCGGGUGAAGGAACUAGGCAAAAUGGUGCCGUAACUUCGGGAGAAGGCACGCUGAUAUGUAGGUGAAGCGACUUGCUCGUGGAGCUGAAAUCAGUCGAAGAUACCAGCUGGCUGCAACUGUUUAUUAAAAACACAGCACUGUGCAAACACGAAAGUGGACGUAUACGGUGUGACGCCUGCCCGGUGCCGGAAGGUUAAUUGAUGGGGUUAGCGCAAGCGAAGCUCUUGAUCGAAGCCCCGGUAAACGGCGGCCGUAACUAUAACGGUCCUAAGGUAGCGAAAUUCCUUGUCGGGUAAGUUCCGACCUGCACGAAUGGCGUAAUGAUGGCCAGGCUGUCUCCACCCGAGACUCAGUGAAAUUGAACUCGCUGUGAAGAUGCAGUGUACCCGCGGCAAGACGGAAAGACCCCGUGAACCUUUACUAUAGCUUGACACUGAACAUUGAGCCUUGAUGUGUAGGAUAGGUGGGAGGCUUUGAAGUGUGGACGCCAGUCUGCAUGGAGCCGACCUUGAAAUACCACCCUUUAAUGUUUGAUGUUCUAACGUUGACCCGUAAUCCGGGUUGCGGACAGUGUCUGGUGGGUAGUUUGACUGGGGCGGUCUCCUCCUAAAGAGUAACGGAGGAGCACGAAGGUUGGCUAAUCCUGGUCGGACAUCAGGAGGUUAGUGCAAUGGCAUAAGCCAGCUUGACUGCGAGCGUGACGGCGCGAGCAGGUGCGAAAGCAGGUCAUAGUGAUCCGGUGGUUCUGAAUGGAAGGGCCAUCGCUCAACGGAUAAAAGGUACUCCGGGGAUAACAGGCUGAUACCGCCCAAGAGUUCAUAUCGACGGCGGUGUUUGGCACCUCGAUGUCGGCUCAUCACAUCCUGGGGCUGAAGUAGGUCCCAAGGGUAUGGCUGUUCGCCAUUUAAAGUGGUACGCGAGCUGGGUUUAGAACGUCGUGAGACAGUUCGGUCCCUAUCUGCCGUGGGCGCUGGAGAACUGAGGGGGGCUGCUCCUAGUACGAGAGGACCGGAGUGGACGCAUCACUGGUGUUCGGGUUGUCAUGCCAAUGGCACUGCCCGGUAGCUAAAUGCGGAAGAGAUAAGUGCUGAAAGCAUCUAAGCACGAAACUUGCCCCGAGAUGAGUUCUCCCUGACUCCUUGAGAGUCCUGAAGGAACGUUGAAGACGACGACGUUGAUAGGCCGGGUGUGUAAGCGCAGCGAUGCGUUGAGCUAACCGGUACUAAUGAACCGUGAGGCUUAACCUU
rnacentral:rRNA from 1 species